rnacentral:ribozyme from 1 species
CGCCUACAAACAGAGGCCCUCUAGGGGGCGCUCACUAAAUUAGCGGGUGGGAAAUUCGGUGGUUCUCCCCAUCCUAGGGGACUUUGUCCCUAAAAUAAUACUCUUGAGAGUGUCCAUGGCGUGAAAACGCCGGGCAAUGCCAUCAGAAAUCAGCAGAAUUUAUUCUGCAUGGGAGGCAUUGCGGAUGGUUGGUCUUUUAUAAUGAGAAAAGGCUAUUGAGUGCAAUAUGCGAACUUAAU